rnacentral:rRNA from 1 species
CACGUAGGGCGCAAGCGUUGUCCGGAAUUAUUGGGCGUAAAGAGCUCGUAGGUGGCCUGUUGCGUCCGCUGUGAAAACUCCAGGGCUUAACCCGUGGAGCCGGCAGUGGAUACGGGCAGGCUAGAGGUGAGGUAGGGGAGAAUGGAAUUCCUGGUGUAGCGGUGAAAUGCGCAGAUAUCAGGAGGAACACCGGUGGCGAAGGCGGGUCUCUGGGCCGUAACUGACGCUGAGGAGCGAAAGCAUGGGGAGCGAACAGG